AAACUAACUCAGGAUUUCCCUAGUAAUGGCGAACGAACCGGAAAGAGCCCAGCUUGAAAAUUCCGGCGCUUCGCGCCGGGAGUUGUAGUCUGGAGACGCAUCCUCUGCAACGCACCGGACCCAAGUUCCCUGGAAAGGGACGUCGGAGAGGGUGACAACCCCGUCGAGUCUGGACCGUGUUGCUCCACGAGGUGCGGUCGUCGAGUCGGGCUGUUUGGGAAUGCAGCCCUAAGUGGGUGGUAAAUUCCAUCCAAGGCUAAAUAUUGGCAAGAGACCGAUAGCGAACAAGUACCGCGAGGGAAAGAUGAAAAGGACUUUGAAAAGAGAGUUAAAAAGUGCUUGAAAUUGCUGGGAGGGAAGCGAAUGGAAGCUGCGGGUGCGCCCCGGUUGGAUGUGGAACGGCCCCCCCCCGGGUGCUGGUCCGCCGCUCAACGCGGGGCGCUGGUCAGCGUGGGCCGCCGCGGCGGGACAAGAGCGGGAUGUAGCUUCCCGCCUAUGCCGUUGCGGUGGCCGAGGAACGAAGCGCGCGGGGGCUCGCGCCCCCGUGGGAUCCGUCCCAACUGCGCGCUCGGGACGCUGGCGUAUUGAGCUCUUCAUCCGACCCGUCUUGAAACACGGACCAAGGAGUCUAACAUGUAUGCGAGCCGGUGGGCGGCAAACCCAUUGAGGCGCAAGGAAACUGACAGGUGGGACCCCCCUCAGAAAGGGAGCACCAUCGACCGACCGU
rnacentral:rRNA from 1 species